CCGUCGCCGUCGCUGCUUCUCCCCCCCGUCGCCGUCGCUGCUUCUCCCUCCCGUCACCGUCGCCGUCGCUGCCUCUCGCCGUCACAAUAUGGCUGCUGUUCCUGCUCAGCUCCCUGAUGAGUUUGGUCCUGGGCCCAUGGACGAUUCGGUGUUGAGGUUUAUAAAAACACAUCGAGCGUGCGCUGUUUGGGAAGGCAAGGAUCCAGGGCCACUGAAAUGCCGCGGUCGUAAUGACGAGUUCCGAAAACGACGCCGGAUAGUGGUGGAUGAUCGUAUCGUCGACAUUGUGAAGAGAGUUGGAUUAGAGGGGCUGUAUAGGACCCCAGGUAGAGAGAUUGAUCAUAACCUGAUCACAACCUUCGUUGAGCGAUGGCGGCCUGAA